rnacentral:rRNA from 1 species
GACUAACGCUGGUGGUGUGUCUUAGCCAUGCAAGUCGAGCGAACCUUUUUAGUAGUAAUACUGAAAUAAGGUUAGCGGCGAACGGGUGAGUAACACGUGAGUAACCUACCCUGAAGUGAGAGAUAAUUUCGGGAAACUGGAACUAAUAUCUCAUAUUAUCCAGGAGGCAUAUGUUUCCUGGAUAAAAGGUGGCCUCUACUUGUAAGCUACUGCUUUGGGAGGGGCUCGCGUCCCAUCAAGUAGUUGGUAGGGUAAUGGCCUACCAAGCCAUAGACGGGUAGCCGGCCUGAGAGGGUGAACGGCCACACUGGGACUGAGACACGGCCCAGACUCCUACGGGAGGCAGCAGGCUAGAAAAUUGGGCAAUGGGCGAAAGCCUGACCCAGCGACACCACGUGGGGGAUGAAGGCCUUCGGGUUGUAAACCCCUGUCAGGGAGGACGAAGUCUAUGAAGGUAAAUAAUCUUCAUAGAUGACGGUACUCCCAGAGGAAGCCCCGGCUAACUCCGUGCCAGCAGCCGCGGUAAAACGGAGGGGGCAAGCGUUGUCCGGAUUUACUGGGCGUAAAGGGAGCGUAGGCGUCCUGGUAAGUUUUCGAUUUAAUACUUCUGCUUAACAGAAGACAUGUCGGAAAUACUGUUGGGAUUGAGUACAACAGAGGAGAACGGAACUCCUGGUGUAGCGGUGGAAUGCGCAGAUAUCAGGAGGAACACCGAUGGCGAAGGCAGUUCUCUGGGUUGUUACUGACGCUCAUGCUCGAAAGCUGAGGGAGCAAACAGGACUAGAUACCCUGGUAGUCUCAGCCGUAAACGAUGGACACUGGGUGUGGGCCAUAAGGUCCGUGCCGUAGCUAACGCGUUAAGUGUCCCGCCUGGGGAGUACGCCCGCAAGGGUGAAACUCAAAGGAAUUGACGG